UUGAAUUUGAGGACCCAAAAUAAAAGAAGGGGGGGGGAGGGAAACAGGAAAUACAAAUUGAAACUAAAAAGGAGACUUGAAGAAGCCCAAGACAAAUGGAAAGUCUGAGCUUUGCUGGGGUGCCUUCAGCUGUGACGAUAUGAAGCUCGAGCUAAACCCGGUGUGGAGAACUGUACUUCAUGCAGCAGAAACAGAAGAGCCUUCCUCAGGGGAAUGGGAAAAGUCAUCAGAGAUGUGAAACUGCUCAUGAGUUGUGGUUGCAGAAAAGGGAAAAAUGCUCAAGUGAAAGACUCGGAUCAGGUGUGUGGUUUUUAUACCAUGAGCUAUAUAAAGGAUUGGGACUAGCCACCUACAUUCUGGCUGAAGCUUUGGAGAGUUCUAUUGCUGAUGAUUUCAUUUACUGCUAUUUCUCCAAUGUGCCUCUGGAAGUUGCAGUGGGAACAGAGGAACAGCAUUCCCCUACCGUGGAGGCUUCCCCAAGGGUGAAGUCCAGCAGCAGUGCAGACAUCGGCGACACCGCUGGGAGCCAGAUGAAGACUUUGGGAAGAGAGUGUGGGUUCCCUGUGCAGAGUCCAGUGACGAAAUCUGUGAACAAGGUAAGAGCAAGGGGUUGUGGCUGUGAAGGGUUUUCUUGCUUCCUUUUCCCCUUCCAAACCCGUUAUCGAAGCGUUAGACAUGAAAUGUAGGAUGUGUGUAGCACAGGAACUGAUAUUCCAAGUGCUAAGUGAAAGAGCCUAAAAAGAUCAAGCUAAAUAGGGCUUCUUUUUAAUGCAUUCCAUUAUGGUGGUUUGGGUUUUAGAACAGUUUGUAUUGUAUCCAAAUGAUCUACAUGUGAAUAAUUGUUACCAGCCUCCUGACACCAGGACCUAAUUAGGAAGUAAGAGCCUUAAAUAGGCCAUUUGCA
rnacentral:lncRNA from 1 species